rnacentral:rRNA from 1 species
AAGACCUUGCGCUUUUGGAGCGGCCGAUGCCUGAUUAGCUUGUUGGUAAGGUAAAAGCUUACCAAGGCUUCGAUCAGUAGCUGGUCUGAGAGGACGGCCAGCCACACUGGGACUGAGACACGGCCCAGACUCCUACGGGAGGCAGCAGUGGGGAAUUUUGGACAAUGGGGGCAACCCUGAUCCAGCCAUGCCGCGUGAGUGAAGAAGGCCUUCGGGUUGUAAAGCUCUUUCAGCCGGAACGAAACGGUUACGGUUAAUACCCGUGACUACUGACGGUACCGGAAGAAGAAGCACCGGCUAACUACGUGCCAGCAGCCGCGGUAAUACGUAGGGUGCGAGCGUUAAUCGGAAUUACUGGGCGUAAAGCGUGCGCAGGUGGUUUUGUAAGUCAGAUGUGAAAGCCCCGGGCUCAACCUGGGGACU